UAGAGUUUGAUCAUGGCUCAGGAUGAACGCUAGCGGUAGGCUUAACACAUGCAAGUCGAGGGGUAAGGCUCUUUCGGGAGUACACGACCGGCGCACGGGUGAGUAACGCGUAUGCAACCUGCCCAUAGCUGGAGCAUAGCCCGGAGAAAUCCGGAUUAAUUCUCCAUAGUAUUGUAAUUUCGCAUGUUAUUACAAUUAAAGUUUCGGCGGCUAUGGAUGGGCAUGCGUGACAUUAGUUAGUUGGUGAGGUAAGAGCUCACCAAGGCAACGAUGUCUAGGGGGUCUAAAAGGAUGAUCCCCCACACUGGUACUGAGACACGGACCAGACUCCUACGGGAGGCAGCAGUGAGGAAUAUUGGUCAAUGGGCGCAAGCCUGAACCAGCCAAUCCGCGUGCAGGAUGACGGCUCUAAGAGUUGUAAACUGCUUUUAUACGGGAAGAACCCCCUGACGUGUCAGGGUUUGACUGUACCGUAAGAAUAAGCAUCGGCUAACUCCGUGCCAGCAGCCGCGGUAAUACGGAGGAUGCAAGCGUUAUCCGGAUUCAUUAGGUCUAAAGGGUGUGUAGGCGGAAUAGUAAGUCAGUGGUGAAAUCCUGCGGCUCAACCGUAGAACUGCCAUUGAUACUGUUAUUCUUGAGUAUAGUUGAGGUAGGCGGAAUGUGUGGUGUAGCGGUGAAAUGCUUAGAUAUCACACAGAACACCGAUUGCGAAGGCAGCUUACUAAGCUAUUACUGACGCUAAGGCACGAAAGCGUGGGGAGCGAACAGGAUUAGAUACCCUGGUAGUCCACGCCGUAAACUAUGAUCACUCGCUGUAUACCCGUUUGGGUAUGUGGCCAAGCGAAAGCAUUAAGUGAUCCACCUGGGGAGUACGUUGGCAACAAUGAAACUCAAAGGAAUUGACGGGG
rnacentral:rRNA from 1 species